rnacentral:rRNA from 1 species
GAUGAACGCUGGCGGCGUGCUUAACACAUGCAAGUCGAACGAUGAAGCCCAGCUUGCUGGGUGGAUUAGUGGCGAACGGGUGAGUAACACGUGAGUAACCUGCCCUUAACUCUGGGAUAAGCCUUGGAAACUGUGUCUAAUACCGGAUAGGAGCGUCCACCGCAUGGUGGGUGUUGGAAAGAUUUAUCGGUUUUGGAUGGACUCGCGGCCUAUCAGCUUGUUGGUGGGGUAAUGGCUCACCAAGGCGACGACGGGUAGCCGGCCUGAGAGGGUGACCGGCCACACUGGGACUGAGACACGGCCCAGACUCCUACGGGAGGCAGCAGUGGGGAAUAUUGCACAAUGGGCGAAAGCCUGAUGCAGCGACGCCGCGUGAGGGAUGACGGCCUUCGGGUUGUAAACCGCUUUCAGUAGGGAAGAAGCGAAAGUGACGGUACCUGCAGAAGAAGCACCGGCUAACUACGUG